GCCAGGCGUGGUGGGGGGGGGCGCCUAUAAUCCCAUCAGCUCGGGAGGCUGAGGCAGGAGGAUGUUGAGUUAGAGGCCGGCCUCAGCCAUGUGGUGAGGCCCUCAUCAACUCAGCGAGACUCUGUCUCUC
rnacentral:sRNA from 1 species